UUCAAAGAGUCCAUCAUUGUUCCUGUCCCGAAGAAACCCCACCCUGCUUCUCUCAAUGACUAUCGCCCUGUAGCCCUCACCUCAGUAGUGAUGAAGUGUUUUGAACGCCUGGUCAGAGACUUCAUCAUUUCUUCACUACCAGACACACUGGACCCACUACAGUUCGCUUACCGUCCAAAUCGUUCCACAGACGAUGCCAUCUCUCAUCUCCUCCACACAUCACUCACUCACUUGGACACUAGAAGGGGGAAUUAUGUUAAAAUGCUCUUCAUAGACUACAGCUCUGCAUUUAACACCAUAAUUCCCUCCACACUCACCACCAAGCUGGAGCAUCUGGGACUCAGCUCAUCUAUGUGUCAGUGGAUCUCCAACUUCCUAACUGGCAGACCACAGGCAGUAAGGAUGGGCGGACAUGUCUCAGCUUCCACCACUCUCAGCACUGGAGCCCCCCAGGGGUGUGUUCUGAGCCCCCUGCUGUACUCUUUGUACACAUAUGACUGUGUGGCCACUACCAGCUCCACCACCAUCGUCAAGUUUGCUGACGACACCGUUGUGGUGGGCCUGAUCUCUGAUAACAACGAGACGGCCUACGUGAAGGAGAUUAGGAAUCUGGAGAACUGGUGCCAGAGAACAACCUCCUUCUAAACGUCAGUAAGACAAAGGAGACAAAGGAGCUGAUAGUGGACUUCAGCACCAAGCAGGAGAGGAACUACCAGACCCCCGUCAUCAACGAGUGCCCAGUGGAGAGAGUGGACUGUUCUCUCUGCUGAGGUCAGGAAAGCGAUUCCGCUCCCUGAAGACCAACACAGAGAGACUGAGGAGGACCUUCUUCCCGCAGGCGAUACGGUCUCUCAAUCACACCACCACACAGUACUGACCCACACAUACAGUUCUUACACACAAACUGGACAUUCUGGACAUUGUUUUCACUUCAUCACUUAAAUCACUUUAAGCAUAUUUGCACUGCACAAGACAUAAUGUGGAUUGCACAACACUGGUCACUAUAUUCUUCAUUUCCAGUUAAUACUUGUACAGCUGCUGUUAUUGUGUAUAUAUUUAUUUAUUUAUUUAUAUUUCUUCAUACAUUCUUAUAUAGUUCUAUACUGUGUAUUGUGUAUUUUGUUGUACAGUUAUUUUAUUUUCAACUUUAAUUUAUAUAUUUUAUCUUAUUCUUUCCCAGUUAAAUUUACCCUUCAUUCUAAUUUGUGUUGUGCAGUUAUUUCAUUUUUAACCUUAAUUUAUAUUUUAUUCCUUCCUAGUUAAAUUUACCCUUUUUAAUUUUUCAUAUUUAUUUCCUAUCUUAUUCAUAGCCUUUUCCUUUUUUUUUUUAGGUCACGAGCAGUUGUCUAAGCAUUUCACUGCAUAUCGUACUGUGUAUGACUGUGUACGUGACAAAUAAAAUUUGAAUUUGAAACUGGAUUCAUUUUAAAUGGAGGCUGUAGCUGAAAUGUUUGUGUGGGUUGCCAUGACAACACCAAAGUGAAUCUGAGAUCGUUAUUGUUUUCUAUUUGUUUUCUUUAUUUGCUUCUCAUGCUUGUGUACAUUUGCAGUAGGGCUGCCACAAACGAUUAUUUUGAUAGUCGACUAGUCACCGAUUAUUUUUGCGAUUAGUCGACUAAUCAGAUCAUCAUCCAUUGGACGUACAGCGUACAGCUUAUUGCACCAGCAGCAUCUGGUCUUAUAUAACUAUCAUUAGCUUACAGCUUGAAGUGUUUGUGCUAACUAAAAAUAAAGACAAGAUGGUAGUUUAUUAAUUUUUAAAGAAAUUUGUGUUACGAUAUUACUUCAGGGAGCAGACAUGACACCGUCUUAGGUUUUAGCCAUCACUUUUUUAUUAUCUCCACACCACCCUCCGGUGGCUUCCACAUGAACUGCACCUUAAACAACAACUGUUCACUCAUAUCAUGACAUCCCCCUUUUUUUUUUUUUUCAACAACAGGGGCAAACAACAAAGUAACUCACAACACCACUCAAGGCCCAUGACCAGAGGGAAAAAAGAAAGGGAGAAAAAAAAAUGCCUCUUGGCAUACUCACAUUUCUCUCUAGUGAACACUUUUUUUUAUUUUUUUUAAUUUUUAAUCACAGCAUGUGCUCAAAACAUAAUGUUCAUUUUAUUCCUCAAUAAGCCUUCUGGGCUUGGAAACAAUACGUCCACUCGCAGUUUUGGGUGGGGAACUUGGAAACUCUGUGGGAGUGACAUUUGUACUUUGCAUGUCCAUCUCACUUUGUCCCUGUGUUUCAUCACACUCAUUUUGCUGUGUUACGUUUUGGUUGUCCCUUGACUGCCUUAGAAACUUUCUGUUCCUUCUAUAUGUCUGUCCAUCAGGCAUCUGAACAACAUAAGAUCUUGGAUGUUCAGAUAAACCUGUCACCUGAGCUGGAUUCCAUACACCCUGUUGCCACAUUCUGACAGUGUCACCAACCUGCAGUUGUUUAAGUGCUUUGGUUCCUUGGUUAAAGUAUUCUCUCUGUUUCUGUUGUCUUGUUUCUAACAACUGCUGCACUGUCUUAGUGACCAUGUGGGGUUUCAAUCUUUGCGAUGUUGUUGGAAGUCUUGUUCUUAUGCGUCGACCCAUUAGCAGCUGGGCUGGUGACGCUCCAAUGUCCUCCAACGGUGUACUCCUCAGAUUCAUUAAUGAUAGAUACGGGUCAUUCCCCUCGGCUUUUGCCUUUUUUAACAAGAGUUUCACUGUUUGUACUCCUCUCUCUGCCAUUCCGUUUGACUGUGCAUGGUGGGGGCUCGUAGUGUUGUGACAAAACUCCCACUCUUUUGCAAAGUCUUGGAAUUCACGGGAGCUGAACUGUGGUCCGUUGUCUGAAAUCACCGUUUCAGGAAUCC
ensembl:lncRNA